rnacentral:sRNA from 1 species
GCGGAGGAAAAGAAACCAACAGGGAUUGCCCCAGUAACGGCGAGUGAAGCGGCAACAGCUCAAAUUUGAAAUCUGGCUCCCUCGGGCGCCCGAGUUGUAAUUUGCAGAGGGUGCUUUGGCGUCGGCAGCGGCCUAAGUUCCUUGGAACAGGGCGUCACAGAGGGUGAGAACCCCGUACGUGGCCGCCCGCCUUCGCCGUGUAAAGCCCCUUCGACGAGUCGAGUUGUUUGGGAAUGCAGCUCUAAAUGGGAGGUAAAUUCCUUCUAAAGCUAAAUACUGGCCAGAGACCGAUAGCGCACAAGUAGAGUGAUCGAAAGAUGAAAAGCACUUUGGAAAGAGAGUCAAAAAGCACGUGAAAUUGUUGAAAGGGAAGCGCUUGCAGCCAGACUUGCCCGCGGUCGAUCUUCUUCCGCGGUCAGGCCAGCAUCAGUCUGGGCGGUCGGAUAAAGGCCUCGGGAAUGUAGCUCUCUCCGGGGAGUGUUAUAGCCCGGGGCGCCAUGCGGCCAGCCAGGACUGAGGUCCGCGCAUCUGCUAGGAUGCUGGCGUAAUGGCUGUAAGCGGCCCGUCUUGAAACACGGACCAAGGAGUCUAACAUCUAUGCGAGUGUUUGGGUGUCAAGCCCGGGCGCGCAAUGAAAGUGAACGGAGGUGGGAACCCCUCGGGGCGCACCAUCGACCGAUCCUGAUGUCUUCGGAUGGAUUUGAGUAAGAGCAUAGCUGUUGGGACCCGAAAGAUGGUGAACUAUGCCUGAAUAGGGUGAAGCCAGAGGAAACUCUGGUGGAGGCUCGCAGCGGUUCUGACGUGCAAAUCGAUCGUCAAAUUUGGGCAUAGGGGCGAAAGACUAAUCGAACUAUCUAGUAGCUGG